rnacentral:rRNA from 1 species
UACGUAGGGGGCAAGCGUUGUCCGGAUUUAUUGGGCGUAAAGAGCGUGUAGGCGGCCUGAAAGGUCAGCUGUGAAAACUCGAGGCUCAACCUCGAGACGUCGGCUGAAACCGUUUGGCUAGAGUCCGGAAGAGGAGAGUGGAAUUCCCGGUGUAGCGGUGAAAUGCGCAGAUAUCGGGAAGAACACCCGUGGCGAAGGCGGCUCUCUGGGACGGUACUGACGCUGAGACGCGAAAGCGUGGGGAGCGAACAGG